AUUUUUUAGUUAUUUUUAAAGAUAUUUUCUGCCCUAUGAUUAAUUUAAAUGGCCGCAGUAUUUUGACUGUGCUAAGGUAGCAUAAUAAUUAGUCUUUUAAUUGAGGACUUGAAUGAAUGGAUACAUGAGGGAUUAAUUUUAUUCAUUUUAAUAAUAUAACUUUAUUUUUGGGUAAUAAAGCUUAAUUUUAUUUUAGGGACGAGAAGACCCUGUAGAACUUUAUAAUUAUAGUAUUAAAUUUGUAUUUAGUAAGUUUUUUAUUUAUUUAAAUUAUUUAAUUGGGGUGAUUAAUAAAUUGAUAAUCUUUAUUUUUUUAAUUCAUUAAUUUAUGUUUUUUUUGAUCCUUAAUAAUUGUGAUUAAAAGAUUAGUUACCUCAGGGAUAACAGCGUAAUUUUAAUUGAAAGUUCUUAUUAAUAUUAAAGUUUGCGACCUCGAUGUUGAAUUAAGGAAAUUAUUGGUGUAGAAGCUUUUAUUAUAAGUCUGUUCGACUAUUAAAUCCUUACA
rnacentral:rRNA from 1 species